GAGUGCCACCUGGCGUCCUUACUGAAAACUACACGUCCCCAUUUUUAUGAAAACAUAAUAGCCGUAGACAUGUCAUGUGACCAGCAAACACUGGGCUUGUUCCGACAUUGCAGCCGACUGACUGAUCUACAAAUCACCUUGCAUCAUAAAUACCGAUAUUAUUAUUUGUAGAUCAGUCAGUAAGCAUUCGCUUCACGGUUUUGAUGCUCCCGAACAACGGCUUUUAAGAGAAACAGAAAGUUAACCGAACUACGGUUGUUGUUACGGUAGAAACGACGCUGUUACCCAGCGCUCACCUCCGUCAUUCUGAACUCUUUUGACUGAACACCGUUUUGAACCCACGUUCUUGCUGCAUGCUGCUUGCACGGUUUCUACGAAGGAUGUCAUCUCUUCCCCGACCUCGUCAUGUGAUCUGGGAGACAGAGGAGCUGGUGGCCUACCUCCACCCCCAGCCCUGGACCCCAGGCACUACCAUCCUGGAGCCGAAGACCCCCAGGGGCCCAGAUGAGGAACCAAGCCCAGCUCAGGGCAGUCUCUUCAGGCUGGGUGAGGGAGCCUACCUGAGGUUGCUGCUGGGGGCCAGGGAGGUGGGGGCCCUGCUGUGUGAGAGGCUGGGGGUGAAGAGAUGUGCCCUGGUCUGCAGGCCCCACCCAGACAGUAACAGUCCACCCCAGAUCCGGGUGCUGCCGCUACACGGCCUUGACAGCGAGUGGCGCCCCCACCUGGCGGGAGAUGAGCACUACACCCACCACGACCCCGGCUACGUCACCUCUAAAAGCGGCCCUCGCUGGACUGACACGUCCCUCCAGGAGAUCCAGGCCGAGAUCCGGGCCCAGCUCCCUUCCCCCAAUGCCCUACCAAACCUCACCUUCCUUGGGGAAGACCCAUCGCACCCCGGCCUCUUCUCCCGGAUCGUCCGUGGAGAGGAGCAGCAGUGGAGGGUGUGGGAGGAUGAGGGAGAGAAGAAGAGGCUGGUGGGUGGAGCUAUACGAGGAUGGGUUCAUUGUAAUGGCUGGAAUGGAAUAAAUGGAAUGGACCAUGUGUUUCAUGUGUGUGAUUCUGUUCCAUUUAUUCUAUUCCAACCAUUACAAUGAGCCUGUCCUCCUAUAGCUCUGCCCACCAGCCUCCAGUGGGGUGACCAUCUACCAACUCCUGUCCUGGAGAGCCACUGCUGUGCAGGCUUUAAUUCCAGCCCUGCAGUACACAUUAUAUUCAGCCUGCACAGUCCUGGCAUGUCUUAAAUUAGGUAGGCCACAAUACACGCAUUUAGAUAUAUCACUGGGUAAAUGUAUUGUGUGUGGACAUGUAUACUGCUGUAUUGCCAAUAAAUACUAUUAAUAUGUAUUAUUAUUAUCAUUAAUAAUUAACAAUCAUUUGUGAUUUCUGAGAAUGUGUUUGUUUAUUUAUUUAUACUUCAUUUUGGGCUCCCGAGUGUCGCAGCGGCACUGCAUCUCAGUGCUUGAGGCGUCACUACAGACAGCCUGGUUCGAAUACCAGCUGUAUCACAAACGGCCAUUAUUGGGAGUCCCAUAGGGUGGCGCACAAUUGGCCCAGCGUCGUCCGGGUUUGGCCGGUAUAAGCCGUCUUUGUAAAUAAGAACUUACUUGCCUAGUUUAAAUAAAGGUUAAAUAAAAUAAAAAAUAAAAAAUUCA
rnacentral:lncRNA from 1 species